UUGGCCAGGUGGGUCAGUAUUAGGAACUGUUGGCCAGGUGGGUCAGUAUUAGGAACUGUUGGCUAGGUGGGUCAGUAUUAGGAACUGUUGGCUAGGUGGGUCAGUAUUAGGAACUGUUGGCUAGGUGGGUCAGUAUUAGGAACUGUUGGCUAGGUGGGUCAGUAUUAGGAACUGUUGGCUAGGUGGGUCAGUAUUAGGAACUGUUGGCUAGGUGGGUCAGUAUUAGGAACUGUUGGCUAGGUGGGUCAGUAUUAGGAACUGUUGGCUAGGUGGGUCAGUAUUAGGAACUGUUGGCUAGGUGGGUCAGUAUUAGGAACUGUUGGCUAGGUGGGUCAGUAUUAGGAACUGUUGGCUAGGUGGGUCAGUAUUAGGAACUGUUGGCUAGGUGGGUCAGUAUUAGGAACUGUUGGCUAGGUGGGUCAGUAUUAGGAACUGUUGGCUAGGUGGGUCAGUAUUAGGAACUGUUGGCUAGGUGGGUCAGUAUUAGGAACUGUUGGCUAGGUGGGUCAGUAUUAGGAACUGUUGGCUAGGUGGGUCAGUAUUAGGAACUGUUGGCUAGGUG